UCUUAAACCUCAUUAUAAAUAUCGUUAUACGCUCGCAUACUCCUAUGUAUCCGGUCCGAAUGAUAGCUGUAUUGCCAUUAGGUUCUGCAAUAUAAACAGAGCUCAGUUUUAAAAUGUUUCCCUCGGAACGGCUUGCAAAUGUGUUUGAUACUAGCGUCUAAUGGCUUAUUCGAAAGCCGUUUCUUCCACAUUUCACGAUAAUCAUUACCAUGCCUAUCAAGUAAGGAUGGCAUAAUAUCGAUAUGAAAAACUUCAUAACAACUUAAGACGUAUCAAUAAAGCAUUUUUUUCACAUACUACAGUACGUAAAACAGUGCUUAUUGAUGCUUUUAGCAAUGUUUCAAAUGUUCCGAGCAACCUAUGCAUACAAGUUAUUUUUACUGUGAAGUAUGGAUACAGCACACUAACUAAUCAAUCAAGCCAAACUAUGUAUAAAUAACUCAGUCAAUCUCAUUUUAUAAAAAACUGUUGAAUAUGAAACUAGUAAAAAGUUCAAG